rnacentral:rRNA from 1 species
UACGAGGGGGGCAAAUGUUGUUCGGAAUCACUGGGCGUAAAGGGAGCGUAGGCGGGUUCUUAAGUAAGGUGUUUAAUCCCGGGGCCCAACCCAGGACCGGCACUUUAAACUGGGAAUCUUGAAUAGUGGAGAGGUCGGUGGAAUUGGGGGUGUAGCGGUGGAAUGCGUAGAGAUCCCCAAGAACACCAGUUGCGAAGGCGGCCGACUGGACACAUAUUGACGCUGAGGCUCGAAAGCAUGGGGAGCAAACAGG